rnacentral:tRNA from 1 species
GGCUCGUUGGUCUAAGGUAUGAUUCUCCGCUUCGGGUGUGAGAGGUCCCAGGUUCAAAUCCUGGACGAGCCC